AUCAAGCUGAUGAGUCCCAAAUGGGACGAAAUGCGCGUCCUGGAU
rnacentral:hammerhead_ribozyme from 1 species